rnacentral:rRNA from 1 species
AUACGGAGGGUGCAAGCGUUAUUCGGAAUCACUGGGCGUAAAGGACGCGUAGGCGGGUUGGCAAGUCAGAUGGGAAAUCCUACAGCUUAACUGUAGAACUGCAUUUGAAACUGCUAACCUAGAGUAUGAGAGGGGGAGAUGGAAUUAGUGGUGUAGGGGUAAAAUCCGUAGAUAUCACUAGGAAUACCGAAAGCGAAGGCGAUCUCCUGGAACAUAACUGACGCUAAGGCGUGAAAGCGUGGGGAGCAAACAGGAUUAGAAACCCUAGUAGUCC